ACUUUAGGCUCAACAAUCUCAGUCAUGGUGACCCCAACCUCAAUAACAAAAACCUCAGCUGCAAUGUCUUCAAGAGAAGAGGAGGGACGAUCUUCUUCCUCUUCUUCUCCUUCUCCUUUGUGGGAAGACCAGACAACUCCCUCGAAGAAAAUAUUACACCUACACCAAUACUGAGAUUAGCACGAUCAACCUUGCAAUCAAAGGACCUAAGAUAUUGACACUCACUUUUAGGGACUGGCCCAUCAGAAUACAGUCUCUUGAGGAGAUCCUCAGGAAG
rnacentral:lncRNA from 1 species